AAAAAGGCAAACCCUAGAUUUCCGUGUCUAACUUUGACUGUCCGUCUUAUAUGAAAUUUUUUUAUAAUUCGUAUUUUUAUUAUUGUUAGAUGAUAAAACAUGAUUAAUAUUUUAUGCGUAACUUGUCUUUUUAAUUUUUUUAUAAUUUUUUUAAAUAAGACGGAAGGUCAAACAUUGGGCAAGGAAAUCAGGGUUUUUCUUUUU
rfam:Oryza glaberrima chromosome 4 Oglab04_0326_13, whole genome shotgun sequence.